UACGGAGGGUGCAAGCGUUGUUCGGAAUUACUGGGCGUAAAGCGCGUGUAGGCGGUCGGGCAAGUCAGAUGUGAAAGCCUUCCGCUUAACGGAAGAAGUGCAUUUGAAACUACCCGGCUGGAGUACGGGAGAGGAGAGUGGAAUUCCCGGUGUAGAGGUGAAAUUCGUAGAUAUCGGGAGGAACACCGGUGGCGAAGGCGGCUCUCUGGUCCGAUACUGACGCUGAGACGCGAAAGCGUGGGGAG
rnacentral:rRNA from 1 species